rnacentral:lncRNA from 1 species
GCCCAGUAGUCAGCACUUCGGUGUUGACAUGAAUAUCAAUUAUAUGGUCAUUUUUAUAAAUUUUCUGUUUUCAAAACUUUGAAUUUUUCGAAAAAACUAAGGAUUUUCUUACCCCAGGAGUAGAUUACCGUAGCCAUAUUUGGAACAACUUUUUUGGAAUUUUGGAUCCUCAAUGCUCUUCAACUUUGUAUUUAUUUGGCUUUUUAACUAUUUUGAUCUGAGCGUCACUGAUGAGUCUUAUGUAGACGAAACGCGCGUCUGGCGUAUAAAACUAUAAUCCUGGUACUUUUGAUAACUAUUGUCUAUCUGAUGAGUUAAGCCUUUUUCAACUGAUUUUUAAUAGUUCGUUCUUAUGUUGUACUGUUAUACCACUGUCCCAGGUCAGAGGGAGGUUUGGGAUCCCGCUAACAUGUUUUACCCCGUCACAUUAUUUAAGUAUAUGCCUGUCCCAAGUCUGGAGCCUGUAACUCGAUGGUUUUCGUUUGUUUAUGUGUUACAUAUUUGUUUUCCGUUCAUAUAUUUACAUAAAUAAGGCCGUUAGUUUCCUCGUUUGAAUUGUUUUACAUUGUCUUAUCGGGGCCCUUUAUAGCUGACUAUGCGGUAUGGGCUUUGCUCAUUGUUGAAGGCCGUACGGUGACCUAUAGUUGUUAAUGUUUGUUUCAUUUUGGUCUGUUUGCGGGUAGUUGUCUCAUUUGCAGUCAUACCACAUCUUCUUUUUUAUAUAAUAUAUGUAUGAAAAUACAGGCUAACUGGUCGCAGCAAUCCAUUCCAUUCUUUAAAAUAGUUUUUUUUUUUUUUAAAUGCACGCGUGUUUUGACAUUUAUGUUCUCCGUGACUCCUCUAAUAUGCGUUGCGGAACAUAUUUACUAUGUACCUUAUGUUCCUCUAUUGAUAAGCUUGCGAAUAAGGUAUAAGACAUAUAUGUAAUUUUAAAGCGUCACAGCAAUCCGUUCCUUUAUUUAAAAUGUCCAUUCCAUUAUUCAAAAUUGGCUAUUUCUGAAUUUUCAAUCGAAUUUUAGUAUUUAUGUCCUCCAUAACCUAUCUUACGUCAUUGUGGCACAUAUUGUUUUAUAUCUAUUUUGUUCUUCUAUCAACAAGUUUUCAGAAGGUGUAUAAAGUGUUCUGUCCGUAAGGAAUGGCGGGUCGCAGCAGUCCAUUAUUCAAAAUAAGCUAUUUUUUAAUGUUCACGCGUAUUUCGACAUUUAGGUUUUCCGUAACUCCUCUAAUAGGCGUCGUGGAACAUAUUUAUUAUAUACCUUUUAUUACUCUUUUGGUGAGCUUCGAAUGUGAUAUAAGAUAUAUCUGUAAACUAAAAAAAAGACAAUGUAUGAUAUUUUUUUAUCAAUGUUUUGGUAUAUAUGUAGGUCGUUUAUAUCGUUUAUUAUCAUUUACAAAGAAAAUUCUGUUAAAAUAGAUAGGGAAAUCACCUCGUUUAAGCUCCGAAAGUAAAAAAAAAUAGAUAAAGAGGAAAAUUUCAAAGAGUGACUUUUUUCUAGUAUAUUAGUUUGAAUAUUUGUUGGAUAGCACCAAAUCGACGAGUUCCAAAAUACGG